rnacentral:lncRNA from 1 species
UACAUACUGGAGGUGAUCUAGUUGCUCAACGGAGCCGGCUGGUGCCCAAUGCCGAAGUGCCACUGGUUGGAGGAAGUUGACCUUAAAGUGUUGUUCAAUGGAGGAAGAUGAUGUACAAGGUUGUUCGGAUGCCGAGAGAUUUUUUAUAUGCAUGCAACCAUGAGAUUUUGGUCCUAUCUAGAGAUAUUCUGUUUGGAGAGAUCAAAUCUCUGCAAAUUUCUGAGAGUUUGGAUUUGUUUGGAGGGAUGGCAUCUUUGUACAGUUUUUUUGUGGGCAGGAUCUUCAGAGUUUGGUCAUGUUUCUUACCCUGUACGCCCUAUUUUUUUAUUACAUGGGAUGGUCUGAUCGCUCGUGGGAUGGUGCAGCCUGUUUUUUAUUAGUUGAUGGUCCAGCUUAUCAUGAGUUUGUGUAUAGGCCCAACCUGUUUUUUUUUACGGGAAAGUUUACUUUAUUAAUCAAAUGAUCUAAAAGAUUUAGAUUGAAACCAGGCGGGUCAUGAACCCAUCGAGAUGGAAUAUUGGCACCUCCCCAACAUGCUAACUCAUGAGCUCAUGAGCUAUAUUAUUUGACUCUCUAAUACAAUGCUCAAUAGUUAACUUCCCGAAAUCUUCGAGAUAACUGCGACAUUCAUCCAGCACCGGCGCUGCCAUCAUAGAAUAGCCUCCAUUCAGUUUGAGUGCCUCCACCACCGUGAUAUUAUCUGAUCUUACUAUCACAUUAUGGCACCCUGUUUCCUUUGCUAGCUUCAUUCCUUCUAAUAUAGCCGCAGCUUCAGCUGUCUCAACAUCAGGUACAUGGUCGAGUGUUGCUGUCGCUGCAGACAUGAAAUUUCCACGAUAGUCACGGAUGACCACUCCACAAGAUCCUGCAUAAUCUCCUUCUCUGAACGACGCAUCAACGUUAAUGACUAUCUGACCAGCGAAAACCCCCGGCCAGUUGUUCACUUUUGGUGUCAUUUUUGUUUGUGCUCCCCGGACAUAGUUCAGAGAUAGGGCUGCCACUGCUACGGCCAUUCGCGCUGGAGAGGCAACAUCCUCACCCCGCACAAACUGUCUCCGUUGCCACCAAAUAUACCAAUAGGUUGUGGUAAACAACUCCGGUAGCUCAAGCACACCAUUAUAUUGUCUUCGAAAAUAGGUAUCACAGAGAAAAAACUCUAUAGCUGCUGAACCCACUCGAUCCAUUUGACAAGCAAAAUUUAUAUCGUCUGCAACUCCCAGAGAUCUCCACACUUCUUGUGAUCUAGCACAUUUAAACAGCAUAUGCGCGAGAUCUUCUGCUCCUUCUGAACAAAACAGGCAGCCAAAUAUAUUCCCCACAUGACGGUUCAUUAGCACACUACGGCAGGGUAUUGUGUUAUGUAGACAUCUCCAGAUGUGAAUUUUUAUUUUCGCAGGCACUUUCAAAGUCCACAAGGUUUCCCAAACUUUAUGCGGUGCCAUAGCUGAUCGGACCAAGCUGCUGUCCUCUGACGCAUAGCUCAUCUCCCACUGUUUAUAGUAAGCGGAGCGUGCUGAAAAAACUCCACUCUUUGUUAGAUGCCAUGCCACAUAGUCUUCAGUUUCCACAUGAAAUAAUGGGAUUUGCAAAAUCCGUUCUGCGUCUAUAUGCCAGAAGUUGUCCCGAAUCAGUUGCUCAUCCCAUUCUUCCGUAGUUGGGUCUAUGAGCUCGUUCACCAUUGUGAGAACUCGGUUCCCAUGGGCUGUAAGGAUUUUCUUUGAUGCACUAUUUGCAAUCCAGUAAUCAUCCCAUAUGUUUAUCUUGUUUCCGUUACCCACUCUCCAAAUACAACCAUGUUUGAAAGUUUGAAUUCCUGACCAGAUGCUCUGCCACACAUAGGACGAACCCUUCUUUAACUGGCUGUUUAGUAUAUCUCCCGUGGGGUAAUACUUGGCUCGUAAGACUCGAGCACAUAGGGAAUCAUAGUUGUCAAUUAAUCUCUAGCACUGUUUCGCGAGCAUCGCUAAGUUUAAACUCUGAAUGUACCGAAAUCCCAUGCCUCCCCUCUCCUUUGUACAGAUCCUCCACCAUGCAAACCAAUGCAUCUUACGCUCAUCCUCCUCAUCUCCCCACUAGAAUUGCGACAUUACACCAGUGAUUCCCUUGCAUAUUUUCUUUGGGAAUUUGAAUACACCCAUCGCAUAGGUUGGGAUGGCUUGGGCCACCGCUUUCAACAAAGCCUCUUUUCCCCCAAAAGAUAGAGUUCUCUCCUUCCAACCAUUUACCAAUGCUUGAAUCCUUUCAAUCAAGUGUUUAAAGCAGUCCACUCGGUCCACACCAAUCAUGGCUGGUAGGCCCAAGUAUCUGUCUGAGAUGGACUCAGUCAUGAUGUUCAGUAUUUGGCAUACAUCAGCCUUCACUUCCACAUUUGUAUUAGGACUGAAAAAAAUAGAACACUUAGAUUAACUAACCAGUUGACCGGAUGCUGCACAGUACUCAUCCAAGAUCGAUCUCAGCGUGUUAGCAUUCUGGUUAUCCGCUCUCAUGAGAAUUAGGGAAUCAUCCGCAAAAAGCAGAUGGGAUAUAGUUGGUGAAUCUCUGCAUACCUGCACUCCAAUUAGGUCCCCCGCCUCUUCCUCAUGAGCUAUUAACGCUGACAGUCCCUCAACACACAAAAGAAAAAGAUAGGGGGAGAGGGGAUCCCCCUGUCUCAAGCCUCUCGUUGGCAAAAAGGGGAGUGUUUCAUUGGAAUUAAACCGUACCUUGUAUUCAACCGUUCUCACACAAGACAUAACCAUCUGAAUCCAUUGGGCAUGAAACCCUAAGUUGGUGAGCAUGGCCUCCAGGAACGUCCAUUCCACUCUAUCAUAUGCCUUAUGCAUAUCAAGUUUUAUUGCACAAGUGCCAACCUUUCCCUUCUUCCGUUUCUUCAUCGUAUGUAGGCAUUCACACGCCACUAUGACAUUGUCAUUGAUGAUGCGGCCCGGCACAAAUGCACUUUGGGUCUCGCUGAUAAUAUCUGGGAGGAGAACCUUUAAACGUGCCACAAGCAUCUUUGAAAUCACCUUAUAUACCACAUUGCACAAACUUAUGGGUCUAAAUUGGGUAACUUUUUCUGGGUUAUUCACUUUUGGUAUUAAGACAAUAGUGGUAGAGUUCCACCCCUCGGGUAUAAUGCAUGUAUUAACAACCUCCAGGACCUCCUUGGUGAGAUCACCUCCAAGCAAGUGCCAGAAUUUUUUGUAGAAAAUAGCGUGUAACCCAUCCGGCCCUGGCGCUUUUAAGUCACCAAUACUAAAAAGAGCUUUUUUUACCUCCUCCUCUGUAUACGGUGCAAUGAGUGAAUCAUUCAUAUAAUCCGUAACCUUCCUCUUAACUUUAUUGAUAACAUUCAUAUCUAGUACAUUUACUUCAGCAGAGAAGAGGUGCUGAAAAUAAUCACUAAUCAGACUACUCAUAGCAUCAUUACUCUCUCUCCAAACACCCGAGUCAUCCAUCAGGCGUUUUAUAAAAUUUCUCUUCUUUCUAGCCGAUGCAAAAUUAUGAAAGAAAUUGGUGUUACGGUCUCCAAAUUUGAGCCAGUUUGCUCGGCUGCGCUGAACCCAGUAGAUCUCUUCCUUUUCCAAAUUUUCCUCUAUCUCCAUUAACAGAAUUCGCUGCUUGUCUCCCGCCUCAUCAGUGAGAGGGCCCGACCGCAACUUUUCCACUCCUCCUUUAGUUCCUUUAGACGCCAUUGGGGUGCCUUCAAAAUCGAGCGAUCUCACUCAUGCAAAGUGGAAUGGACACUCGCUGUUCGUUCUGCAAUUGGCGCUGUCGGGUCUGAACGUUCCCACGCAUUGGACACCACUUGCAUAAUGUUAUCCUCUUGCAACCACCUCGACUCAAAACACUUCCGAUGGGUUUGAGGAACUACCUGCCCAUCCCCCUCGGUAUCAAUGAAGAGGGGUCUGUGAUCCGACUUUAUAUGAGAAGUGUUAGUGACUUUUGUACUUGGGAAUAAACCAUGAAACUGGCCAUUACAUACCGCUCUGUCCAGCCUUUCCCUAAGCCUCCUCCUCCUCCAAGUGUAAAGGUCACCGUUACAUCCCAUAUCCUCCAUCUCGCAAUCAACAAGGGCAUCUCAAAAGUUCUGCAUCAUGUGCAUUGGCCUCGGCACUCCACCCUCUUUUUCAUGGGAAUACAAAAUUUCAUUAAAAUCACUAGCUAUCAUCCAUGGAAGAUUAACUCGCUGGUGUAGAUGAUGCAAGCACGACCAUGACAAGUGCUUAUCUUCCCACUUCGGCUCCCAGUAGAAGCCCGUAAACCUCCAUACCUCAUCCGUACCAUCUCCCACCGUAACAUCUAUGAAGUUUUUAUCUUUAUCUCUCAACUGUAUUGCCACAGGUCUCCUCCAAAAAAGAAGCAACCCCCACUUGCUCCAUCACUCUCAUGCACUUCCAUACAAUUGUGACGCCCGGGUAAUCAAGCUACAGUAAUCCCGCACUAACGAUGCCACGUCACCUCGAUUACUAUUACUAAUCUCGUGUUAGUUCGAAACCCAUUCAAAUUCAAAUUCAAAAUAAAGCAAACAAUAAAAGUUUUCAAAUGUUAAAACUAAAAUGUUCUGAGUGAUCCAAAUAAUGCAUAGGUAAUUAUAAUGGAGAAACCACACUUUAAUAAAAUGUUUAAAUAUUCAAAUGAUAAUAAAGCAAUAGUAAAAACUAUUAUUUAAAUACAUUUAAAUAAUAAAUAAUUACAAAACUAUUUUAUUUAGUUACCCAAAUUGAUGUGGCAGUAGUAAAUAUAGUAAUACUAAUUUAGGAACCAUUUGUGUAUUUUAGAAAACUAUAACCGUUUUAGAAAUAAAAGAAAACGGAAUAGAAAAAGGAAAAUAGACAAAGUAGGACUAUUUGUUUUGGGCCCUAGUGCAUUAGUGGAUUAGGCCCAGCCCAACUUCCCCUCAUCCCCUUUCUCUGUUCAUCAGACAAUCAGAGGACGUGGAGGCCAUCCAUGGCGCCCCGGCCAGGUGCCGGCCAUCCCCCGGUCUCCUUGGAGUAUAAGGGCGACACCCCGGACGCCCUGGACAACCCUAGCUCAAUCCUCCCCUUCCCCACACUUGAUCCCCUCGAUCCCGAGCUUGUUCGUCACCGCGCCUUCAUCGAUCCCGCGGCCACCGACUCCCCAUCGCUACCUUGCCAUGUCCAUGAGGUUCUCCGUCGUCUACUUCAUCGUCUGCACCACCAGAUUGAGGCUUGGGAGCAUCAUCGACGACGCACGUCUCUUCUUCUUCCGCCACGGCCGUCGGACGACGCCGUCGAUCUCCACCACCGGCGCCUCCCCGACCUUCCCCGAGCUCGCCUACGUUCUCCCCGGUGAGCCCUCCUCCGGAUCCCCCUUCCUCCGCCUCGAUUCGGUCACCGUUUGCCUUCCCCGAGCACAUCCUAGCCCGCGUCGCGUGUACGCGUACGCGUACUGGUGUAAGCGCGUGCGUGAGCUGCUGCUGCUUAACCACCGUCUCCUGCGGCGGCGUACUGCUGCUGAAGCGCGCCUGCCCUGGCCUCGCCUCUGCCUGCCGCUGCUCGCCGGCCAUCGGCCGCGGCCAUGUAGUGCGCCCCUGCUGCUCCUUGCGAUGCGCUGCUGCUCAUACCGCUACUCUGCUCUGCUUGCUACUGAUGUCGCUGCACUGCUGCUCCGUUUGCUGCUGCUCACGGCCGCUGCUACUGCUUUCCUUGUGCUGCUGCCGCUGUUGGCCAUGGCCGCCGUGGCUUGUGCCUCGUGCGUGCUAGCCAUGGCAAGCACAGCCAAGGCCCGGGUGUGCCGCUGCCAAUGGCCGACCCAAUUAGUAGGUCUAAUUAGUUUAGGCUAAAUUAGGUGUUAAUUAGUCUAAGGCUAUUAGAAGUGGACCCAGGCUAAUUAAUCUAAUUAACUAGAAUAGUUUAGUUGUUGUCUAUGAUGUGUGGCUCCCAUCUCUAAUUAAGCUAGAUUAAUUAAUCUCUUAAACUAAGACAAUGACAAUUGGGCACCAUUGUCACUAUUCAUCAGUGGACCAGUCAAACUUGACUGGGUCAACUGAGCCCUCCAGCCCCACAUGUCAUGCACACGCACACAUUCCUGGGUACACUCCUCUGUACCCAUAGCCAUUUUUUUAUUUGGAUUAAAUUUAAUUCCAGGACUUCAGAAAUGUUUAAAACUUCAUAAAUAAAAUCAUAUAAAAUAAACCAUGUACAGGAAAGUUUCUCAGAACGACGAGACGAAUCCGGAUACGCAACCCAUUCGUCCGCCACACACCCCUAACCUAUCGAACUCGCAACUUUCCCCCUCCGGCUCCUCUGCCCGAAAACACGAAACACCGGGAAUACUUUCCCGGAUGUUUUCCCCCCCUUCACCGGUAUCACCUACUACCGCGUUAGGGCACACCGAACACCGCGUAUUGCCUUGUUAUAUUUUGUGAUGCUUUGUUUGCUCUGUAUUCAUUAUUUCUUCCCCCUCUUCUCUCCGGUAGACUACGAGACCGACGCUGCUGCUGACCAGUUCGACUACGGAGUUGACGACCCCUCUCUCUUGCCAGAGCAACCAGGCAAGCCCCCCCCUUUGAUCACCAGAUAUCGCCUACUCUUCUCUAUACUGCUUGCAUUAGAGUAGUGUAGCAUGUUACUGCUUUCCGUUAAUCCUAUUCUGAUGCAUAGCCUGUCAUUGUUGCUACAGUCAUUGAUACCUUACCCGCAAUCCUAAAUGCUUAGUAUAGGAUGCUAGUGUUCCAUCAGUGGCCCUACACUCUUGUCCGUCUGCCAUGCUAUACUACUGGGCUGUGAUCACUUCGGGAGGUGAUCACGGGCAUAUACUAUAUACUUUACACUGUUACAUUACCUGUGAUACUGUUCGGAGUUGGGGGCUGAAGGGGCAGGUGGCUCCAUCCCGGUAGAGGUGGGCCUGGGUUCCUGACGGCCCCCGACUGUUACUUGGUGGCGGAGCGACAGGGCAGGUUGAGACCACCUAGGAGACAGGUGGGCCUGGCCUUGUUCGGCAUUCGCGGAUACUUAACACGCUUAACGAGAUCUUGGUAUUUGAUCUGAGUCUGGCUACGAGCCUAUACGCACUAACCAUCUACGUGGGAGUAGUUAUGGGUAUCCCGACGUCGUGGUAUCAGCCGAAGCACUUCAGACGUCAGCGACGGAGCGGCGCGCGCCGGAUUGGAACGUAAGCCUGCUCUUGUAUUAAGGGGGCUAGUUCUGCUUUCGGCCGCGUACGCAACGUGCAGGUGUGCUAUGGGCGAUGGGCCCAGACCCCUGUGCGCUUAGGUUUAGACCGGUGUGCUGGCCUCUCUGUUGAGCCUAGGUGGGGCUGCGACGUGUUGAUCUUCCGAGGCCGGGCAUGACCCAGGAAAGUGUGUCCGGCCAAAUGGGAUCGAGCGUGUUGGGUUAUGUGGUGCACCCCUGCAGGGAAGUUAAUCUAUUCGAAUAGCCUUGAUCUUCGGUAACAGGACGACUUGGAGUUGUACCUUGACCUUAUGACAACUAGAACCGGAUACUUAAUAAAACACACCCUUCCAAGUUCCACAGACAACCCGGUGAUCGCUUUUCCACAGGGCGACGAGGGGAGGAUCGCCGGGUAGGAUUAUGCUACUGCGAUGCUACUGGAGAUGCUACUUGAAGAUGCUACUUGAAGAUGCUACUUGGAGAUGCUACUUGGGGGACUUCAAUCUACUCUCUUCUACAUGCUGCAAGACGGAGGCUGCCAGAAGCGUAGUCUUCGACAUGAUUAGCUAUCCCCCUCUUAUUCUGGCAUUCUGCAGUUCAGUCCACCGAUAUGGCCCUUUACACAUAUACCCAUGCAUAUGUAGUGUAGCUCCUUGCUUGCGAGUACUUUGGAUGAGUACUCACGGUUGCUUUCUCCCCCCUUUUUCCCCUUUCCUUUCUUUCUGGUUGUCGCAACCAGAUGCNNNNNNNNNNNNNNNNNNNNNNNNNNNNNNNNNNNNNNNNNNNNNNNNNNNNNNNNNNNNNNNNNNNNNNNNNNNNNNNNNNNNNNNNNNNNNNNNNNNNNNNNNNNNNNNNNNNNNNNNNNNNNNNNNNNNNNNNNNNNNNNNNNNNNNNNNNNNNNNNNNNNNNNNNNNNNNNNNNNNNNNNNNNNNNNNNNNNNNNNNNNNNNNNNNNNNNNNNNNNNNNNNNNNNNNNNNNNNNNNNNNNNNNNNNNNNNNNNNNNNNNNNNNNNNNNNNNNNNNNNNNNNNNNNNNNNNNNNNNNNNNNNNNNNNNNNNNNNNNNNNNNNNNNNNNNNNNNNNNNNNNNNNNNNNNNNNNNNNNNNNNNNNNNNNNNNNNNNNNNNNNNNNNNNNNNNNNNNNNNNNNNNNNNNNNNNNNNNNNNNNNNNNNNNNNNNNNNNNNNNNNNNNNNNNNNNNNNNNNNNNNNNNNNNNNNNNNNNNNNNNNNNNNNNNNNNNNNNNNNNNNNNNNNNNNNNNNNNNNNNNNNNNNNNNNNNNNNNNNNNNNNNNNNNNNNNNNNNNNNNNNNNNNNNNNNNNNNNNNNNNNNNNNNNNNNNNNNNNNNNNNNNNNNNNNNNNNNNNNNNNNNNNNNNNNNNNNNNNNNNNNNNNNNNNNNNNNNNNNNNNNNNNNNNNNNNNNNNNNNNNNNNNNNNNNNNNNNNNNNNNNNNNNNNNNNNNNNNNNNNNNNNNNNNNNNNNNNNNNNNNNNNNNNNNNNNNNNNNNNNNNNNNNNNNNNNNNNNNNNNNNNNNNNNNNNNNNNNNNNNNNNNNNNNNNNNNNNNNNNNNNNNNNNNNNNNNNNNNNNNNNNNNNNNNNNNCCAGAUAAAAUUUCAACACUGCAACUUCAUCGAACGUGAGAAGUGAAUGAAAUGUUAUGCAUUGGAGAAGUGGGAGUCGACCUUGAACUUGUGUUCAUGCCCAUGGACACGAUGUAGAUCUUAUCAUUAAAGCCUCUCUUAAAUAAAUUAUUCCUUUGGUAUAAGUUCAUCUUAUAUCUGAGAUCUGGCCUUUUUGCAAUCGUGGAUCUGACCAUGUUCUCCUUUAAAUAUCAUGUCCUGUGCAAGUUUAAGCACUUGUCUUCUAUAGAGCAAUACCCCAGUUCAACUUCUAGUUUGAUCUGUCGUCGAGUAUUACCCCCUGGUAUCUCGAGAUUAUCAUGGAACUGCAUAACUCCUUAUGAGUUCUUCAUCAAGUUCUACCUUCCCACUGAUUCCAAUUUUUCACGGGCUCUGAGUUAUUGAACACUCAAAGACACCGAUAACUGAACCGAGUCCGCUCUUCGGUUCAACAACUCUUCAGUAAGCUUCUAUAAGUACGAGUUUGUACCCGAUCACGCCAUUCCUAGCCUGUUUGGCUAUAUCAUUGUCGUGACGAUUCUAACUGUGCUACCUGGUCCUUAUUCUCGGAGCACCAAUUUUCGACGAUGAACUAACCUUAUGUCGAUCCUCAUCGUCAUAUCAUUUCUCCUUGAACAACAAGCUUGGUUUCGAGUUUGUGUCAUACCCUUGGUUUCAGUAACCUUUCACUUCAUCAUUCCUUUGGCUUGAUGCCAUCGCCGACCGAUUACAUCUUCAUGAAAUCUCUCAACAAUUGUGUCGUGAUCAUCAUCGGCAUUCUGAGCUCUUCCAGGAUGUCAAUUGAGUUCAUGAUGAGAAAUACCAUCCUUGCCCUCGAUGAUUAGUGUUAUCAUCGACCACUCUACUACCUUUCCUCCAACACAGACUUGUUCUUGUUUUGUGUUGUACCUUGAGUUCCUUGCUACCCAGCAUUGUUCUUCUUUACCUUGGAUAUUACCACCUUUUAUGUCAAGAAUGUCGUGGGAAUUACACCACCUCUUAAGAAUUCUUGGUAUGGUGAUACUUCUCACCAUCACCAUUCUUUCUUGGGUCCUCGUGUUGAUUCCAACCGGGGUACCAACAAGUGGGCGGUGCUGUUUGGAUUCUGCCCUUCUAGGAACCCUCUUGCUUUGAAGUUAAUGGUUGGCCAUUCAUUCUUAGACUAUUGAUUAUUGAAUCACCAUUUCCGACGUCGGUCGUGCAACCCAACCCAUAUUUCGGACGCACCUUUCAACCAAUGUUUAAUUGUGUAUGUUUUCCUCGAGCAUAUUUCCCUAUAUCAUUUGAUCUGACCAAUGUUAUCUCCUUGUUCACUUAAUUGUGGACAUCCAUCUUUUAGGAAUCUCGGUGAAUUGCCGUUGAGUUCACCAGACACCUCCUUGUCCUCUCCUUGGGUUAAUGAUGGACUCUUGAUAAUGGAAAUCACUUCACAGUUCAUUUCUCCGAGAAUCUUACAAUGUCAUCUCGUCAAUUUGCGUUGCACCUUUUCUUCUCAGGUAUCCUAAGUCUGAGGUAUCCUGACACCAACCGGAUCUGAAUCUCGGUCAGAUAUGAUGGUUGGGACAUACCUCCAAGAGUUGUAACAUUGAUCUCUACGUGACCCGGUAACAUGAUGUCAUGCCUAGCACCCCCCCCCCCCGCUGGGUGGAGGACCUAUCGUUAUAAUUUCUUUUGCAAGGACAACCAUUCUUCCUGGAGGAAAUUGUAAGACUUAUUCUACAAGUUAUUCCUAAUGGAUCCUUCGUGUUUCCAAAGUCUGAUCUUCACCUGGAGACCUUGUCAAUGCUAUCUAGAAGCAUGUCAAUGGUACUCCGAUUUUCAACAGGAACAUUUGAAGCACGAUGCUAAAUUUUAUUUAUCAUUUAUCCUAACACCGUUGUGUGAGUAAUGUCAUGAAAUUUCUCUCCCCUUACCUGAAAGGGUUUUCUACCUUAUAUCCUAUCAAGGAUAUCAUGCUCUGCUUGUCCUUGGGAAGGAUAUACCCCUGAAAUAUGUGUUUAAACACAUUUUUCCUUUCCAUUUGUUCUGUUUAACCUGAGGAUCACAUUUUCUUUUCCAUUGGUUUGUUUAACCUUUCUUGUGAUCUAUCUGAUCUAAACAGUAAGAUUCUUCUGCUCAUGUAAACACCUCGGUGUACAACUCUGCCAGUGAGACCCUGUUUCUAUUGUUGAUGACAUUUCGGUAACCGCCGAUGGAUGAGAACUUUGCCUCUUGGCCCGCCUCGUUUCAACGAGCAGGAAAAUGGUUUUCUUCGUCCCUCGCCCUUGGUACCAACAUUGUUGCCGACAUAACUGACAUGCUACUCUCUGACAUGCCUUGCUAUCAUGAUCGUGCAAAACGUCACCGCCCUUCCUACUGUUAAUCCACAUGGUGGGCCCAUAACCCACAGUUUCACAGGAUCGAAACCUGACUCUCCUGUACAACCCCUGUUCCCAAAGUUAUUCCUCGCGAGUGGACUCGUAUGUAAUUCACGGACCGCCGUCCCAAGUGAUCUAUUUUGGUAUCAGACGCAAUACUUAUUCUCGUUGCCCUGAACCCCUUUCACCUGCUGAUUAGGCAUCGAACACUUGCCUAUCCGUUUGAAACUUCUCAUGGUACCUCCUUACUUUGCUCUCGAUAUUUUCUUAAGAUUCAAUUCGAGAGUAACUUCCGCCACCUUCCUCGGUGUUAUCGACCAGAUAGUCAACCUUGUAGAGGUCUGUCCUUUUGAAGCUACCCCUUAUCCUUUCCGUAAGUACGAUGAAGAUCCCCAAGGAAGGACGAUAACUUCAUCAUGAUGACCCAAAGCGGAGAACUGAAGACAUCAAUGUAAUGGAUCGACCUCUUCGAGAAGAGCAACCAAAGACGAGAAGAUUCGUUAGGAUUUUGUAACCAGACCUUUCCCCCUAGUCCCCCUCUUAAAUCUCGGGACGAGAUUUCUUGUAGUGGAGGAGAUUUGUGACGCCCGGGUAAUCAAGCUACAGUAAUCCCGCACUAACGAUGCCACGUCACCUCGAUUACUAUUACUAAUCUCGUGUUAGUUCGAAACCCAUUCAAAUUCAAAUUCAAAAUAAAGCAAACAAUAAAAGUUUUCAAAUGUUAAAACUAAAAUGUUCUGAGUGAUCCAAAUAAUGCAUAGGUAAUUAUAAUGGAGAAACCACACUUUAAUAAAAUGUUUAAAUAUUCAAAUGAUAAUAAAGCAAUAGUAAAAACUAUUAUUUAAAUACCUUUAAAUAAUAAAUAAUUACAAAACUAUUUUAUUUAGUUACCCAAAUUGAUGUGGCAGUAGUAAAUAUAGUAAUACUAAUUUAGGAACCAUUUGUGGAUUUUAGAAAACUAUAACCGUUUUAGAAAUAAAAGAAAACGGAAUAGAAAAAGGAAAAUAGACAAAGUAGGACUAUUUGUUUUGGGCCCUAGUGCAUUAGUGGAUUAGGCCCAGCCCAACUUCCCCUCAUCCACUUUCUCUGUUCAUCAGACAAUCAGAGGACGUGGAGGCCAUCCAUGGCGCCCCGGCCAGGUGCCGGCCAUCCCCCGGUCUCCUUGGAGUAUAAGGGCGACACCCCGGACGCCCUGGACAACCCUAGCUCAAUCCUCCCCUUCCCCACACUUGAUCCCCUCGAUCCCGAGCUUGUUCGUCACCGCGCCUUCAUCGAUCCCGCGGCCACCGACUACCCAUCGCUACCUUGCCAUGUCCAUGAGGUUCUCCGUCGUCUACUUCAUCGUCUGCACCACCAGAUUGAGGCUUGGGAUCAUCAUCGACGACGCACGUCUCUUCUUCUUCCGCCACGGCCGUCGGACGACGCCGUCGAUCUCCACCACCGGCGCCUCCCCGACCUUCCCCGAGCUCGCCUACGUUCUCCCCAGUGAGCCCUCCUUCGGAUCCCCCUUCCUCCGCCUCGAUUCGGUCACCGUUUGCCUUCCCCGAGCACAUCCUAGCCCGCGUCGCGUGUACGCGUACGCGUACUGGUGUAAGCGCGUGCGUGAGCUGCUGCUGCUUAACCACCGUCUCCUGCGGCGGUGUACUGCUGCUGAAGCGCGCCUGCCCUGGCCUCGCCUCUGCCUGCCGCUGCUCGCCGGCCAUCGGCCGCGGCCAUGUAGUGCGCCCCUGCUGCUCCUUGCGAUGCGUUGCUGCUCAUACCGCUACUCUGCUCUGCUUGCUACUGCUGUCGCUGCACUGCUGCUCCGUUUGCUGCUGCUCACGGCCGCUGCUACUGCUUUCCUUGUGCUGCUGCCGCUGUUGGCCAUGGCCGCCGUGGCUUGUGCCUCGUGCGUGCUAGCCAUGGCAAGCACAGACAAGGCCCAAGUGUGCCGCUGCCAAUGGCCGACCCAAUUAGUAGGUCUAAUUAGUUUAGGCUAAAUUAGGUGUUAAUUAGUCUAAGGCUAUUAGAAGUGGACCCAGGCUAAUUAAUCUAAUUAACUAGAAUAGUUUAGUUGUUGUCUAUGAUGUGUGGCUCCCAUCUCUAAUUAAGCUAGAUUAAUUAAUCUGUUAAAGUAAGACAAUGACAAUUGGGCACCAUUGUCACUAUUCAUCAGUGGACCAGUCAAACUUGACUGGGUCAACUGAGCCCUCCAGCCCCACAUGUCAUGCACACGCACACAUUCCUGGGUACACUCCUCUGUACCCAUAGCCAUUUUUUUAUUUGGAUUAAAUUUAAUUCCAGGACUUCAGAAAUGUUUAAAACUUCAUAAAUAAAAUCAUAUAAAAUAAACCAUGUACAGGAAAGUUGCUCAGAACGACGAGACGAAUCCGGAUACGCAACCCGUUCGUCCGCCACACACCCCUAACCUAUCGAACUCGCAACUUUCCCCCUCCGACUCCUCUGCCCGAAAACACGAAACACCGGGAAUACUUUCCCGGAUGUUUUCCCCCCCUUCACCGGUAUCACCUACUACCGCGUUAGGGCACACCGAACACCGCGUAUUGCCUUGUUAUAUUUUGUGAUGCUUUGUUUGCUCUGUAUUCAUUAUUUCUUCCCCCUCUUCUCUCCGGUAGACUACGAGACCGACGCUGCUGCUGACCAGUUCGACUACGGAGUUGACGACCCCUCUCUCUUGCCAGAGCAACCAGGCAAGCCCCCCCUUUGAUCACCAGAUAUCGCCUACUCUUCUCUAUACUGCUUGCAUUAGAGUAGUGUAGCAUGUUACUGCUUUCCGUUAAUCCUAUUCUGAUGCAUAGCCUGUCAUUGUUGCUACAGUCAUUGAUACCUUACCCGCAAUCCUAAAUGCUUAGUAUAGGAUGCUAGUGUUCCAUCAGUGGCCCUACACUCUUGUCCGUCUGCCAGCUAUACUACUGGGCUAUGAUCACUUCGGGAGGUGAUCACGGGCAUAUACUAUAUACUUUACACUGUUACAUUACCUGUGAUACUGUUCGGAGUUGGGGGCUGAAGGGGCAGGUGGCUCCAUCCCGGUAGAGGUGGGCCUGGGUUCCCGACGGCCCCCGACUGUUACUUGGUGGCGGAGCGACAGGGCAGGUUGAGACCACCUAGGAGACAGGUGGGCCUGGCCUUGUUCGGCAUUCGCGGAUACUUAACACGCUUAACGAGAUCUUGGUAUUUGAUCUGAGUCUGGCUACGAGCCUAUACGCACUAACCAUCUACGUGGGAGUAGUUAUGGGUAUCCCGACGUUGUGGUAUCAGCCGAAGCACUUCAGACGUCAGCGACGGAGCGGCGCGCGCCGGAUUGGAACGUAAGCCUGCUCUUGUAUUAAGGGGGCUAGUUCUGCUUUCGGCCGCGUACGCAACGUGCAGGUGUGCUAUGGGCGAUGGGCCCAGACCCCUGUGCGCUUAGGUUUAGACCGGCAUGCUGGCCUCUCUGUUGAGCCUAGGUGGGGCUGCGACGUGUUGAUCUUCCGAGGCCGGGCAUGACCCAGGAAAGUGUGUCCGGCCAAAUGGGAUCGAGCGUGUUGGGUUAUGUGGUGCACCCCUGCAAGGAAGUUAAUCUAUUCGAAUAGCCGUGAUCUUCGGUAACAGGACGACUUGGAGUUGUACCUUGACCUUAUGACAACUAGAACCGGAUACUUAAUAAAACACACCCUUCCAAGUUCCACAGACAACCCGGUGAUCGCUUUUCCACAGGGCGACGAGGGGAGGAUCGCCGGGUAGGAUUAUGCUACUGCGAUGCUACUGGAGAUGCUACUUGAAGAUGCUACUUGAAGAUGCUACUUGGAGAUGCUACUUGGGGGACUUCAAUCUACUCUCUUCUACAUGCUGCAAGACGGAGGCUGCCAGAAGCGUAGUCUUCGACAUGAUUAGCUAUCCCCCUCUUAUUCUGGCAUUCUGCAGUUCAGUCCACCGAUAUGGCCCUUUACACAUAUACCCAUGCAUAUGUAGUGUAGCUCCUUGCUUGCGAGUACUUUGGAUGAGUACUCACGGUUGCUUUCUCCCCCCUUUUUCCCCUUUCCUUUCUUUCUGGUUGUCGCAACCAGAUGCCGGAGCCCUGGAGCCAGACGCCACCGUCGACGACGACUACUACCCCGGAGGUGCCUACUACUACGUGCAGCCCGCUGACGACGACCAGGAGUAGUUAGGAGGAUCCAGGCAGGAGGCCUGCGCCUCUUUCGAUCUGUAUCCCAGUUUGUGCUAGCCAUCUUAUGGCAACUUGUUUAACUUAUGUCUGUACUCAGAUAUUGUUGCUUCCGCUGACUCGUCUAUGAUUGAGCACUUGUAUUCGAGCCCUCGAGGCCCCUGGCUUGUAUUAUGAUGCUUGUAUGACUUAUUUUAUUUGUAGAGUUGUGUUGUGAUAUCUUCCCGUGAGUCCCUGAUCUUGAUCGUACACGUUUGCAUGUAUGAUUAGUGUACGAUUGAAUCGGGGGCGUCACAACAAUCCAUUUUUAAUUUUCUCCGUAGUUUCCCUGCCUUAACUUUGUUCAGAUGCGUCUCAGACAGGAAGAUGACAUCCGACCCCCACUGCUUCUGGAUAUCCAGAAGAGCUCUUCCUGCCGCAGCACUGGCCAUGCCACGGCAGUUCCAGCAUAUGAGUUUCAUAGCACCCGGCGAUCACCCUCGAAGGGAGUCGCCGAUAUGUUGCUAGAAGUAUUGUUCUCUGUCGAUCUCAGUCUCUUUGGGUCAUGAAUUUUAUGCAGGGUACUCAUCGUACUUUUAUGCACAGACUCCACAUUGCUAGUAUUCUCCAGAAGAUGAACUUGUUCUAAAACAUAUCCUGGCGGCAGAGGUGUGCCUGAGCCACCCGGGCCACCAGUGUGCACUUCGGGCCAUUGAUAUUGCCAUCCUGUCCUAUCAGUCGCUUGCGCGCGGAAGGGACUAUUGCAAUUGCACUAGCACCAUCAGUUCCAUCAAGGUCCAUCUCCAACUCUUCCUCUUGGUUUGGGUCUCUCGCAUUUCCUCUACCACUUCCGCGACCACCUCCUCUUCCAGCUGCCCCCCCCCUCGACCACUUCUAUUAUUCCCUCUCCCUGCUGGGCCAUCAAAAUCAAUGAAGAGCCAUUCACCCCAGUCACAGCUCUCAGGGCUGUGUAUACCAUCACCACACUUCGUAACAACAUGCCCUAACAAUCCACAGAAGUAACAAAAAUCAGGAAGUUUCUCAUACUCAACUGGAUAUCUCUUUCUUCCCCUAAGCGUCAGUGGCACAAACCUAACCAGGGGUGUAUCAAGCAUCACAAACACCCUAGCCCUCAAGUAUUUGGUCGGGUUCAGACGACCUUCAUUGACUAUGACUAAGAUCGGUUGGCCUACUUUCUUUGCAAUCUUUUCUGCAGUGUCCUUCUUUUUCAUCAGGCUAUCAGGCAUGCCCACAAUUCUUGCCCACACUGGUAUAUGAUCCAGUUUGUAAUCCUCAGCAUUGGUGAUUCCAUCAUAUUCCUCUAUAACAACUGCUGUGUUUCUAAACAGCCACGACCCUCCCCUCAUCACGCGGUCCCAAUCCCCCAGGCAAGAGAAUUGCGCAAGGAACCAGUUAGGGUUUAUGAUUUUGAAAGUCACCCCCUGAGCUGGGAUCUAGGUGUUCCUCAAAGUUUUAAACAACGAAACAUGGCUAAAGGGUUUAGAGGUGUGAACCCUAAAGAUGGCAAUCCAUCUUGUCUCCUUUAUCAGAUCAUCAAUCUCGCCAGACAGAUCCAGAUCUUCCUCCUCCUCUCCAUGCAAAUUCAGUCCCGCAAACCUAUCCGUCAGAUUUGAUUGAGUUCCUGUUUGGUUGCCACUACCGCCGCCGUCGCCUCUCGGGUCGGCCGCCACAGAACCCCUCCCCGCCAUGCAGUCCAACUAAUGGGAGCGCUGAACAGUUGGGAAUCACGCAGAGAUCGCAGAGACAGCGAUCGGACGUGAGAUUUGGUGGUGGGAAGCAGAUUUGGGGGGAACCCUAGCAUGGUCGCUAGGGGAUAAGGGGAACCCUAGUGUGGUCGCCAGGGGAUUUUUUUAUAGGCCCUACCUGUUAUGGUCUCACGUGCGAGAAAUCUGACCCU